rnacentral:tRNA from 1 species
AUUUAUGUAGUUUAAUUUAAAACAAUACACUUUCAUUGUAUAAAUAAUUUAUUUAAUAAUUCUUAAAUU